GGAUGAACGCUGGCGGCGUGCCUAAUACAUGCAAGUCGAGCGAACAGACGAGGAGCUUGCUCCUCUGACGUUAGCGGCGGACGGGUGAGUAACACGUGGAUAACCUACCUAUAAGACUGGGAUAACUUCGGGAAACCGGAGCUAAUACCGGAUAAUAUGUUGAAUCGCAUGGUUCAACAGUGAAAGACGGUCUUGCUGUCACUUAUAGAUGGAUCCGCGCCGCAUUAGCUAGUUGGUAAGGUAACGGCUUACCAAGGCAACGAUGCGUAGCCGACCUGAGAGGGUGAUCGGCCACACUGGAACUGAGACACGGUCCAGACUCCUACGGGAGGCAGCAGUAGGGAAUCUUCCGCAAUGGGCGAAAGCCUGACGGAGCAACGCCGCGUGAGUGAAGAAGGUCUUCGGAUCGUAAAACUCUGUUAUUAGGGAAGAACAAAUGUGUAAGUAACUAUGCACGUCUUGACGGUACCUAAUCAGAAAGCCACGGCUAACUACGUG
rnacentral:rRNA from 1 species